rnacentral:rRNA from 1 species
GACGCAGGGCGCGAGCGUUGUCCGGAUUUAUUGGGCGUAAAGAGCUCGUAGGCGGCUUGUCGCGUCGUCCGUGAAAACCUGCAGCUCAACUGCAGGCUUGCGGUCGAUACUGUCGUGACUCGAGUCCGGUAGGGGAGUGUGGAAUUCCCGGUGUAGCAGUGAAAUGCGUAGAUAUCGGGAGGAAUACCGAUGGCGAAGGCAGGUCUCUGGGCUGACACUGACGCUCAUGCACGAAAGCGUGGGGAGCAAACAGG